CCAAAAUAUGCUGACUUUUGCGGGGGUCCAGGGGGCGGCAGCCCCCUGGUAUAAGAAAAUAUUAAUAUUAUCAACCAUCACAACAAUCAGACGUAAAAACAACAACAAUAUCCUUUGAAUUAUUCGUCAUCAACUUUGUAUGCUAACAUUAAUCAGAGCACUGGCGCACGGUUUGUUUAAUAUUGAUCAAAGUAAACAUCUUGACAAGAUUUGACUUUCGCAUUAUCCCGAACGAAAAUGAGUUAUU